AUUGGACGCUGGCGGCAGGCUUAACACAUGCAAGUCGAGCGAGCGGCGGACGGGUGAGUAAUGUCUGGGCAACUGCCUGAUGGAGGGGGAUAACUACUGGAAACGGUAGCUAAUACCGCAUACCAUCAGAUGUGCCCAUAUGGGAUUAGCUAGUAGGUGGGGUAAGGGCUCACCUAGGCGACGAUCCCUCGCUGGUCUGAGAGGCUGACCAGCCACACUGGAACUGAGACACGGUCCAGACUCCUACGGGAGGCAGCAGUGGGGAAUAUUGCACAAGGGGCGCAAGCCUGAUGCAGCCAUGCCGCGUGUGUUAAGAAGGCCUUCGGGUUGUAAAGCACUUUCGGUAGCGAGGCGUUAACUACAGAAGAAGCACCGGCUAACUCCGUGCCAGCAGCCGCGGUAAUUC
rnacentral:rRNA from 1 species